rnacentral:misc_RNA from 1 species
GCAUACUCACAGACGCCAGUUUAUCUCUCACUACCGUCCACGAGAGGCGUUCACGACUUAAUUUUUAUACCAAAAAAUAUUUUUUGUAAAUCUCAAAAUGUUCAGAUUCUUGAUUCUUGCGUUUGUUGCGACGGCGUUCGCUGACACUCAUGAUGGACCCUGCCCUGAGGUCAAGCCGGUUGAAAACUUCAACUUAACUGCUUACCAAGGCGUCUGGUAUGAAAUUUCAAAGCUACCCAUCGCGUCAGAAGGCAAAGGCAAGUGCGGCCAGGCUGAAUACACCCUGAAUGGUGACGAGGUCAAGGUCAAAAACUCACACGUCCUUGAUGGAGAGCAGAAGUUUAUUGAGGGCACCGCUAAGUUUGCCGCUGAUGCCAACAACGCUGCCAAGCUCCUCGUGUCCUUCAAAUUCGGAGAAUUCGUAUCCGAGUCUGGUCUGCAGAUCCUGACGACUGACUACCACAGCUACUCUAUUGCUUACAACUGCAAGUACGACGAGAAGACCAAGACUCACAAUGAGCAAGCCUGGAUUCUCUCAAGGUCCAAAUCCUUGGAGGGCGAAGCCAAGACCACCGUUGACGCGUUCCUGAAGGAACAUUCCAAGGUCAUUGACUCCACCAAACUGGUUAAAACUGAUUUCUCCGAAGAGGCCUGCAAGUUCACCGGCUCCAGCGUCAUGACAGAACAAACUGCCAAGCCUUGAAUUUUUGAAUUUCGAAGAUCAAUUUAAAAUAGGAACGCAAAGCUAUGGUGAUAUGAACCUUGUUUUUGAACACCAGUACUGAUUCUUUUUGAUUGUAGACUUUCGGCUGUUUUCAAUAUUCUGUCUAUCGUUUGAUUAUGCUUACUAGGGAUAGAAUUUACACCAUUUACCCAUACAGGUAAUGUCAAAUUCCUAUCUUUAGUAAGCAAAUCCGCGGAUAUGUAGUUGGGAACGGACCUUGUUUUCUAUGUAGUUGAUCUUAAUAUGUAUUGUAGUAACUUAUGUUUAUUUUGUUGAAAUUGUGAGUAUUGAUGUUUGAAGUUAAGGUUCUUCUUCUGCAAAAUUGUUUUGACGUCAAGUUUAAGAGAAUUUGAUGAUGCGAAAUGCUCUCGAAUAUUUUUUACAGAUAGUGCAAAAUAAUUGCAAAAUAUGAAUACAUCUUCAGAUUUUCUAUAAUUUGACGUUAAAUUAGAUUCAGCUUUUGAAAAUAUUACGAAAUAAUAAUGAGUGUAAUGUUUUUAAAUUCAAACACCUUUCGUUCAUAGCGAUGUAUAUAGAAAAUUCUAAUAUUUUAGUCCUUAAGAUUGAUUGAUGAACUAAUUCCAAAUAAUUAGUGUGUAUCAAUGUAAUCCAUAAAAAACUGUCAUUUUUCUAUAAAAAAUGUGAAAUAAUUGACAAUACAUAGCUAUAUCUGCUUAAUCCAAAGUUGUUUUUAAAUAUUUAUUCUGAUAACAAUCACUAAUACUUAUUUUAAUCACCAGUUAAUCUCUAAUCACCAAUAAUACCAUUGUAAUAAAAAUAUAGUACGGAACAUAGCUUAGGACUAUUUAUUGGAUAAUAAACUUUUCUACGAAA